rnacentral:rRNA from 1 species
UACGAGUGCUUCGAGCGUUAUCCGGAAUCAUUGGGCGUAAAGGGUGUGUAGGCGGCUUUGUUAGUCUUUCGUUAAAUCUCUCGGCUUAACCGAGAAUCUGCGGAGGAAACGGCAAGGCUUAGAGGAUGGGAGGGGUCUCUGGAACUCAUGGUGUAGCGGUGAAAUGCGUUGAUAUCAUGGGGAACACCAAAAGCGAAGGCAAGAGACUGGCCCGCUCCUGACGCUGAAACACGAAAGCGUGGGUCGCGAAUGGG